GCCGGUGUAGCUCAGUGGUAGAGCAACCGCCUUGUAAGCGGUAGGUCGUCGGUUCAAUCCCGACCACCGGCUCCA
rnacentral:tRNA from 1 species